CAGCAGCCGCGGGAAUACGGAGGGUGCAAGCGUUAAUCGGAAUUACUGGGCGUAAAGCGCACGCAGGCGGUUUGUUAAGUCAGAUGUGAAAUCCCCGAGCUUAACUUGGGAACUGCAUUUGAAACUGGCAAGCUAGAGUCUUGUAGAGGGGGGUAGAAUUCCAGGUGUAGCGGUGAAAUGCGUAGAGAUCUGGAGGAAUACCGGUGGCGAAGGCGGCCCCCUGGACAAAGACUGACGCUCAGGUGCGAAAGCGUGGGGAGCAAACAGGAUUAGAUACCCCGGUAGUCCCUGUCUCUUAUAA
rnacentral:rRNA from 1 species